CCUACGGGGGGCAGCAGUGGGGAAUAUUGCACAAUGGGCGCAAGCCUGAUGCAGCCAUGCCGCGUGUGUGAAGAAGGCCUUCGGGUUGUAAAGCACUUUCAGCGGGGAGGAAGGCGUUAAGGUUAAUAACCUUGUCGAUUGACGUUACCCGCAGAAGAAGCACCGGCUAACUCCGUGCCAGCAGCCGCGGUAAUACGGAGGGUGCAAGCGUUAGUCGGAAUUACUGGGCGUAAAGCGCACGCAGGCGGUCUGUCAAGUCGGAUGUGAAAUCCCCGGGCUCAACCUGGGAACUGCAUUCGAAACUGGCAGGCUAGAGUCUUGGAGAGGGGGGUAGAAUUCCAGGUGUAGCGGUGAAAUGCGUAGAGAUCUGGAGGAAUACCGGUGGCGAAGGCGGCCCCCUGGACAAAGACUGACGCUCAGGUGCGAAAGCGUGGGGAGCAAACAGGAUUAGAUACCCGAGUAGUC
rnacentral:rRNA from 1 species